ensembl:lncRNA
GAUGAAAGUACUGAUCUGGAGACCUUUGCUACAAUUUCCUUGAAAGCUUAUCCUACUGGCCAGCGGCUGUGUGAGCCAGUGAGAGUACCAGGGACACCAGAAGUAUUUGACAGGUCAUACGUACUGGAAAAAAUCACAGGUAAAAUCUGGAACUGAGAUGUUUGUUAUACCAUCAUCUUAAUUCAUCACCGCAUCCAUAAUAUGAGGUUUUAUUUUAGAUGGUGUAAAAAUUCCAAACUGUGAUGAGGUGAAUCUGCUGGAGUCAUCGAUUCAAAGAGCUAAAGAUAUCGAGAAAAUUUCGCUUAGUCUUCCGGCAUCAUUUGAUAGGUUUCCAUUGUGGAUCUUUUAUAACAGCACCCCACAAUGUUGCAACUUUCAGAUUGAACAGAAGAAAACAUUUUCAGACAUGUUUGAGGAUGUCAAACGGUACAGUCACUUGAUUGUCACACCACCACUGCAACUGGCAAAUAUGGGAACUGAGGCUCCUCGGUUGGUGUAUCUCAGUGAAGAUAAUCUAGGUGUUUACUUGAGCAAAGACAAGGGAGACCCGUUUAAGAUUUGGGUUUAUGACUGUCUGUCUGGAACAGAAACCAUAAAAAAUGUGAAUGAUCUGGCUAAAAUGUAA